rnacentral:hammerhead_ribozyme from 1 species
GUCCAGCUGACGAGUCCCAAAUGAGACGAAACGCGCGUCCUGGAU